UGUAACAAACAUGCACAUCCUGCACAUGUAUCCUGGAAUGUAAAAUUAAAAAAACAAAAGAUGUUAGAGAUACCAUUUCAUGGUGUCCAUAUUGAGAGCCCAGCAGCAAUGACAGCUUCGAGAAUUCAGUGGCCGCAUGCAACGCUGUUGGCAUUGACAAUCCUGCGGUAGUUGUCUGGCGCUCUGACCGUGAAACAGAUUGUCCCUGCAGUGUGACAUUAGUUGUAUUUUCCAACUAUCUAGCUUCUUCUAGUUCUUGACCACAUUUUGAGGCUAAGCCUAUAGCUUUCCCAACAUUCCUGUGAACUCUCUAUUUCUUUACAAUAAAGCCUUUAACAGCUGGCAGAUUUGACUCCUAUUAUUUCAACCAAGAUUGUUACACUGCCUACAAAGUAAUUCUUCGAGGCUUUGGCUUAUAGUGGGACCCUUCUUGUGUUUCUGGUUUUGGCACCGAGGCAUAUACGUAUGUAUUCAUGGGUCAUUAUGUAGAAUAGUUGGCUUCUCUUCGCAGAAAGUUGGCAGAGAGAAAAGGAGAUUCAACGUGUCAGUGUACUUUGCUUUCUUGAUUCAGAUUAUUUUUCUAUAAACUGAACUAUGUAGACUAAGGGAAUCAGGAAGGCAGAGGGUUAUGUGUGUCCACUGACCCUUGUUGGUGCCUGUCUCCAAUGAGGAACUCUUCUGAUUUAGACAUUCUUGUGCUUUUCUUUUCCCAAUGGGUAUAUUUUCAUACCAUGUGCUGUUCCAAAUUCCUGAGUUUCUGGUGAGAACCACAUGUUGCCUUGUUCUGUGUGUCUUCACUGGGUGUAUUUUUAUGGUGCAUGCCCAUUACUACCCAACCCUUUGCUCCUGUUGCUCAGACAGUCAUGAUUUGUAAUAAGCAACUCUGUUCCUCAAUCCCAAUUGCCCCAAAGCGACACGAAAAACAAGGUUGAGUUGGAGCCAAGGGAGAGAGAAAACCCUCGGUAAUGAGUCAUGGGAUAGGGCAAAACAGGCACGCAGAUUAUCCCUGGCUUCUUAGGGGCUUCUUCUUCAGAUGUGAGGCUGCUGCUUCUUCUCCCCAGUAUCUUUUUGCUUUGGAGGUCAGAUGGCAAUUUUGGUGGAGAUUAUACUGUGGACACUGUGCUUGUAAGACUUCUUCCUUCUCCUGCAUGAGCUAUGUAUGAGUUGAGGAAUGCCUUCACAGAAUCAGCAAGUUCUCAAAUAGCUCACAUUUUUCCAGGCUAUCAUGGGUAUCUCCCAUGCAUUCAUAGGUUUGUAGAUAGUCAGGUUCUGAAGACUGAGUGUGUUGGAAAGGACGACCACAGCUCCAGGAAAGAAGGCCACAUACCCACCACUACUAUACCAGAUACAGCAGCACCAUUUCAAGAGGAAAAUCUUCACAGUUUCUUGUGUCUCAUUUUUUUUUGUUGUUGGUCAUUUUUUUCAGUACCUCAAAAUAAUUAUUUUAAAUAAUUUAGUCCAGUUUUGUGCUUGUUUUCUAGGAAUAGGAAUUAUCUGACCUCAUGCUGCCUUUACUGGAAAUAGUCUUACAAUUGUUCUGGGAAAGAAGACAAAUGAAUUUUUAUGGGACUCUCAGUUCUCAUAUAUGAGUGUUUAUUAUAUUUCUCAUGGAAAAAAUAAAGUUGCUCUUGAUAGAAUGUCA